rnacentral:rRNA from 1 species
UACGGAGGGUGCGAGCGUUGUCCGGAAUCGCUGGGCGUAAAGGGCGCGUAGGCGGCCUGAUAAGUAGGGGGUGAAAUCCUGCGGCUUAACCGCAGGGCUGCCUUCUAAACUGUCAGGCUAGAGCACAGUAGAGGCAGGUGGAAUUCCCGGUGUAGCGGUGGAAUGCGUAGAGAUCGGGAAGAACAUCAGUGGCGAAGGCGGCCUGCUGGGCUGUUGCUGACGCUGAGGCGCGACAGCGUGGGGGAGCGAACCGG